CAGUAAGUGACAGCUGCGCAGGAACUGGAAGUGAUGUAGCUGGGCGGAGAGAGGAAGUGAGAGGGCAGCGACAGAGAGGCAUAUAGGCGUGGUUAUGCAGGAAGUAGGUCUCUCUUUGGCUGA